GACGAACGCUGGCGGCGUGCCUAAUACAUGCAAGUAGAACGCACAGUUUAUACCGUAGCUUGCUACACCAUAGACUGUGAGUUGCGAACGGGUGAGUAACGCGUAGGUAACCUGCCUGGUAGCGGGGGAUAACUAUUGGAAACGAUAGCUAAUACCGCAUAAUAUUAAUUAUUGCAUGAUAAUUAAUUGAAAGGUGCAAUUGCACCACUACCAGAUGGACCUGCGUUGUAUUAGCUAGUAGGUGAGGUAACGGCUCACCUAGGCGACGAUACAUAGCCGACCUGAGAGGGUGAUCGGCCACACUGGGACUGGGACACGGCCCAGACUCCUACGGGAGGCAGCAGUAGGGAAUCUUCGGCAAUGGACGAAAGUCUGACCGAGCAACGCCGCGUGAGUGAAGAAGGUUGUCGGAUCGGAAAGCUCUGUUGUAAGAGAAGAACGGGUGUGAGAGUGGAAAGUUCACACUGUGACGGUAUCUUACCAGAAAGGGACGGCUAACUACGUG
rnacentral:rRNA from 1 species